rnacentral:rRNA from 1 species
CCUACGGGUGGCAGCAGUGGGGAAUAUUGGACAAUGGGGGGAACCCUGAUCCAGCCAUGCCGCGUGUGUGAAGAAGGCCCCCGGGUUGUAAAGCACUUUCAGUGAGGAAGAACGCCUGGUGGUUAAUACCCAUCAGGAAAGACAUCACUCACAGAAGAAGCACCGGCUAACUCCGUGCCAUCAGCCGCGGUAAUACGGAGGGUGCGAGCGUUAAUCGGAAUUACUGGGCGUAAAGCGCGCGUAGGUGGCUUGAUAAGCCGGUUGUGAAAGCCCCGGGCUCAACCUGGGAACGGCAUCCGGAACUGUCAAGCUAGAGUGCAGGAGAGGAAGGUAGAAUUCCCGGUGUAGCGGUGAAAUGCGUAGAGAUCGGGAGGAAUACCAGUGGCGAAGGCGGCCUUCUGGACUGACACUGACACUGAGGUGCGAAAGCGUGGGUAGCAAACAGGAUUAGAUACCCUUGUAGUC